rnacentral:rRNA from 1 species
GAUGAACGCUGGCGGCGUGCCUAAUACAUGCAAGUCGAGCGAAUGGAUUAAGAGCUUGCUCUUAUGAAGUUAGCGGCGGACGGGUGAGUAACACGUGGGUAACCUGCCCAUAAGACUAGGAUAACUCCGGGAACCCGGGGCUAAUACCGGAUAACAUUUUGAACCGCAUGGUUCGAAAUUGAAAGGCGGCUUCGGCUGUCACUUAUGGAUGGACCCGCGUCGCAUUAGCUAGUUGGUGAGGUAACGGCGCACCAAGGCAACGAUGCGUAGCCGACCUGAGAGGGUGAUCGGCCACACUGGGACUGAGACACGGCCCAGACUCCUACGGGAGGCAGCAGUAGGGAAUCUUCCGCAAUGGACGAAAGUCUGACGGUGCAACGCCGCGUGAGUGAUGAAGGCUUUCGGGUCGUAAAACUCUGUUGUUAGGGAAGAACAAGUGCUAGUUGAAUAAGCUGGCACCUUGACGGUACCUAACCAGAAAGCCACGGCUAACUACGUGCCAGCAGCCGCAGUAA